UACGAAGGGGGCUAGCGUUGUUCGGAAUUACUGGGCGUAAAGCGCACGUAGGCGGAUACUUAAGUCAGGGGUGAAAUCCCGGGGCUCAACCCCGGAACUGCCUUUGAUACUGGGUAUCUCGAGUCCGGAAGAGGUGAGUGGAAUUUCGAGUGUAGAGGUGAAAUUCGUAGAUAUUCGGAGGAACACCAGUGGCGAAGGCGGCUCACUGGUCCGGUACUGACGCUGAGGUGCGAAAGCGUGGGGAGCAAACAGG
rnacentral:rRNA from 1 species